CGCUGGUCACCGCGCCGGAGCCGCUGCAGACCGGACCGAGCGGAGGUUCGCAAAAAAACAGGGAACUCAUGAUGAAAGAUAACUAAAAAAUGCUGAGAGCACGGAAGAUGGGGGGACCAUCACUGUCACAGCUGGAAGACUCUAACAUGGGCUCCUGCAGCAAACACCAACCCUAAAAAGUCCUUUAGGAGCCACAGAGGGCUUCAUCUCCUGACGGAACCGAAGGUUUGACGCAGAUCGAAAUAAUAAGCACCAGCCUCAUUCCUCGUCACCCUCAUGUUUCUUGUCUCCGUCUUUGUCCAGAUCUGCUGAUGCUGCCGGCCGACUGAGGAGGAGCUUUCUGUCCUUAUCAUCCCCCGGUUCACCGCGGCUCUACCCAGUCUCCAUGCGGCGCGGAGGGGCAGGAUGCAGCGCCGCAGAGCCCGGCCUCUCCAUGGAUCAUGUUGCAAAGUGCUAAACUCGGCACUAUCACCUUAUCAGCCCCUCCCACAUCCCUCCCAAAGCCUCUCACUCUGUCUCCAUGACGAGACUCAGCCAAGGCUUAUAGCUGGACUUCAAUAGGGCCAUUUCAUUUUGAUUUGUUACGCAUUUUUUGUUCAGAACAUGUAUUUUAGAAGUAAUUCCAAGUUUGAUUGCUUCUCAUUAAAGAAAAGUAAAACAUUAAAAAUAAUUAUAAAUUAUAUCAUCAUUCUAAAAUUUGCUGUAUGGUUAUAAUAAAUGAAAUAAAUUGUUUUCUACAUCCAAAGAAAGCAAUUACCCACAAAGGUUUAUAUAUAUAUAUAUUCCAAUAUUUUGUCCCAUAAUUGCAUUCAAAGCAAAAUCUGGGAUGGAGAAGAUAAUUUUUACCCAUCAAAAGUCACCAUAUAUAUGAACGAAUACUAAUAUUUGCCAUGUCAGUUGCAUUAAACACAAUUUUAUUAAUAGUAGGGUAGGUACCAGAAUUUCUUUCAAUACCGUAGUUCCCAUAAAACCAAUUGUUUUGAAUUGGACUGAGCUGCAGUGCAUGUGAGUGAAUUUGGCAUCUGAUCACAAUAAUAGGAUUCAACGGGAUUGCACUGAAUUUACAUGCAUUGCACAGAACUCGAUAUUGUAUAUUAGAAUAUGAAUUAAAUCAGUUUAUUUUGACUAUUAAGUGCUUUGUAUCACUAUGGUUUUCUUUUGAGAAUAAACUAUUGAUCCCACUUUGCAACUCUCUUUGGUUGCAUUAUUAAAUAUCCUAUGGAAAAUAUAAUAAAAGCAUCCAACUUUGACAAAAUAAUGGAAAUGUAUAUUAAGAAACAAUGAGUUUUCAAGGUGAUGGCAUCAAUAUUUACAUUCAAAAUAAUAUACGUUCACAAAUGAGAUUUUCCCUAUUUCCCUAUUGUCUCAUUUGUAAAUGAACUUCCCUAUCAUCUCGAUAUUUGUGAGCAGCUUCCCUGUUCCUGUUGAAGAAGAGUUUCCACACAGGAUCAUAGUGCCACCAUUAUGUUUCAUCAUUUGGAUAUUGUGGUUAGAGUGAUGUUCAUAAUCUAUUAAUAUUAAAUUGAUUUGAAGCACA